rnacentral:lncRNA from 10 species
AGGUUGAAGUGCAGUGGUGUGAUCAUAGCUCACUGAAGCCUUGACUUCUUGAGCUCAACGGAUCCUCCUGCCUUGGCCUCUCAAGUAGCUGGGACCACAGGUGUAUGCCACCAAGCCUGGCUAAUUUUUAAUUUUAUUGCAAAGAUGGAGUCUUACUAUGUUAUCCAAGCUGAUCUCAAAUUCCUGACCUAAAGCCAUCCUCCUGUCUUGGCCUCCCAAAGUGCUGGGAUUACAGGCAUGAGCUAUAACUCCCAGCCCAUAAUUCGUUAUUGAAUGUUGCAUGCUGUGCAUAGAAAAACAAUAAAGACUGAGGUUCCUGAACCAGACAAGUGCCCUUCACCCUCCCCCCAGGGCACAUGGCUUUUGCUUCAAAUAACAGCAGAGACAGAACAGCGAAGGCUUUGUACCUGCUUUCAUCUCAGAGAAGGAAUCUCUCAGGUCUCCUGUCCUGUCUCCAGUCUUUCUUGUGAAUUCCCCAUGGAGGCUUAUGGAAAAGGAUUUGAGAAUGAGUGUCUAUUCUUCUUGAGUCUAGAUCUCUAGAAGAUUCUGAACUGUCGCACUAGCCUACACUGGACCUUUAAGAAUUUGUUAAAAUUUUGGCUGCUUAUUUUUUACCCACUCUUAAGACAGCUGCCCCUUUCUCCUCUACUCCCACAAAGAUGUAGCAAUUCAUGUGCCCCAUCUCUCCUCAGAGGGCCUGUUGCCCUCUGAAAUUCAGUUAACCUGGUUGUCUUGUGACCUCGGCUUUUUCAUAGAUUCAAGAAAAUUUGUGAUUUUAUAAGUUAUAUAGCUUUUCCUCUCAUUUUUAGGCUAGGGGUGACAUGCUUUAAAGGUUUCUAUAUCCUAAGUGGAAUGAUUCGGAUACGGCUGGCAAACUCAAAUGCCUACAAAGUCCAGGCGGAGAAUAUACAUGAUCAAACGAGUCUAAGGGUGAAAGGUGUGAAUUAUGAGUACAUGAAGAAUGCUUGACUACCUGAGGGCAUACAAAUAUUUUUUAAAUUAUGCAUGCUAAACCAAAAAUGUCUUUAGAAUUCAACUGACAAGUUGAAUUUCCUAAUUAAGAUAUUAGCAGAAUUAUGUGUUCAAACCUGGUUAAGCAGAACUGGUUGAUCGAUAACUAAAAAGAGCUUUAAAAUGCAUCAUUUUCAAUCUAAAAGGAAAUUCUUAUUGUCACGGCCAGCAGUCGCUACUGAGUCCUGUGCUAAUUUUAAUAUUUUAAGGUUUGGAAUGAAGAUAUGAAAAGAAGAGUAUUCUGGUUUUCUUUCAUGAAACUAAACCAAGAGUUAUUGCUAAUAUACUUCAUAUUAAGAUUCAUGAAGUGCUUGACAGGUUAAAAUAAAGAGACUUAAUAUGCAUAAAUGUAAGGUUCUAAAAUUGGGCUUGAUAAAUCUACUUCAACUUUACAGGUGCAUAGAAUUGGUGAGAGUUGACUUACUAAUAGAAGUUCAUAUGGUAAUGACUUAUGAUUUCUAUCACGUGCAAAUUCAGUGAGUCAAAGUAUGACAUAAUUGCCCCCAAAAAAGCUGCUUUGCCUUAGGUUAUAAUAACAUCAGUGGAAGCAAAGUGUUCAGAACAAAGGAAGCCUUUAGUCCCACAGAUUAGACACAUGUGGAGUGUCUCGUUGCUGUAUUUUACAAGGGUCAUGGGCUUACUGGAAUUCAGAAAGAGAAAGAUGGCCAGGAUGAUAGUCUGGAAACUGUGCUCUCUGAGGAAAAGUUGAGUCAGAAUGUUGAGUCUGGAAAGGGAAAACUUGGAAGAACAGAAUAGCAUCUUCAAACAUUAGAAAAGAGCAGUGAGAGAGACUUGGCCCCCGCAGACCAGAAACAUUCUAAAUAAUAGUGAAUGAAUUUGGAUUCAAUGAAACUGAUGUAGUAAGUGUUAUUUGAUAUGUUAUUACCUUUGGGGUAAGGUGGACUGAAACAUUUUCCCCUCCAGUCAGUAAAAACAAAAAAGUAGUGAUUAGAGAAGUGUGAUUUAUGUUUGUACCAUUCAUUAUUAGUCAAUGCAAGAAGAUUGUAACAUGUCUCGUAGCAAGGGAGGAGCAAAAUCUCUGUUAGCAGGAAGCCAGCGUUAUGAAUUUUAUAAGAAUAUGAUCAAUUUUAUGUUUAUGAAUGUA